rnacentral:rRNA from 1 species
CGUGUAGGCGGUCUGUUAAGUCUGAUGUGAAAGCCCCGGGCUCAACCCGGGAAGUGCAUUGGAUACUGGCAGACUUGAGUACGGGAGAGGGAAGUGGAAUUCCGAGUGUAGGGGUGAAAUCCGUAGAUAUUCGGAGGAACACCGGUGGCGAAGGCGGCUUCCUGGACCGAUACUGACGCUGAGACGCGAAAGCGUGGGGAGCAAACAG